UACGUAGGGGGCAAGCGUUGUCCGGAUUUAUUGGGCGUAAAGCGCACGCAGGCGGUUUGGAACGUUUGCAGUGACAGUGCUCGGCUUCACUGAGCAAGGUCUGCAAAAACGACCAGACUUGAGGACCAGAGAGGGACAUAGAAUUCCGGGUGGAGUGGUGAAAUGCGUAGAUAUCCGGAGGAAUACCAAAGGCGAAGGCAGUGUCCUGGCUGGUACCUGACGCUGAGGUGCGAAAGCUAGGGGAGCGAACAGG
rnacentral:rRNA from 1 species